rnacentral:rRNA from 1 species
ACCUGACGGAGCACGCCGCGUGAAGGAUGACAGCCUUAGGGUUGUAAACUUCUUUUUUUAGGGAACAAUUUUGAGGGUACCUAACGAAUAAGUCACGGCUAAUCACGUGCCAGCAGCCGCGGUAAUACGUGAGUGGCUAGCGUUAUCCGGAAUUAUUGGGCGUAAAGCGUCAGCAGGAGGUUUGUUUAGUGAGAUGUAAAAUAUCACGGCUUAACCGUGGGACAGCAUCUCAUACUGACAGACUAGAGGAAUGUAGAGGCAUAUGGAAUUCCAGGAGUAGGGGUAAUAUCCGUAGAUACCUGGAGGAACACCAAUAGCGAAGGCAGUAUGCUGGGCAUUUCCUGACUCUCAGUGACGAAAGCGUGGGGAGCGAACCGGAUUAGAUACCCGGGUAGUCCACGCCGUAAACUAUGGAUACUCGGUGCAGGGAACAUCGAUCUUCUCUGUGCCCAAGCUAACGCGUUAAGUAUCCCACCUGGGGAGUACGGUCGCAAGGCUAAAACUCAAAGGAAUUGACGGGGAUCCACACAAGCGGUGGAGCAUGUGGUUUAAUUCGACGAUAAGCGAGGAACCUUACCCAGACUUGACAUCCCGAGAACCCUGUGGAAACACGGGGGUGCCGUUUACGGAAUUCGGUGACAGGUGCUGCAUGGUUGUCGUCAGCUCGUGCCGUGAGGUGUACGGUUAAGUCCGAUAACGAGCGCAACCCUUGUCAUUAGUUGUAUUUCUCUAAUGAGACUGCCCAUGUAAGUGGGAGGAAGGUGGGGAUGACGUCAAAUCAGCAUGGCUCUUACGUCUGGGGCGACACACGUGCUACAAUGGGGUAUACAAUGGGUAGCCAACCCGCAAGGGGGAGCCAAUCCCAUCAAAGUACUUCUAAGUUCGGAUUGAAGGCUGCAA